rnacentral:rRNA from 1 species
UAGGGAAUCUUCGGCAAUGGACGGAAGUCUGACCGAGCAACGCCGCGUGAGUGAAGAAGGUUUUCGGAUCGUAAAGCUCUGUUGUAAGAGAAGAACGAGUGUGAGAGUGGAAAGUUCACACUGUGACGGUAUCUUACCAGAAAGGGACGGCUAACUACGUGCCAGCAGCCGCGGUAAUACGUAGGUCCCGAGCGUUGUCCGGAUUUAUUGGGCGUAAAGCGAGCGCAGGCGGUUAGAUAAGUCUGAAGUUAAAGGCUGUGGCUUAACCAUAGUAGGCUUUGGAAACUGUUUAACUUGAGUGCAAGAGGGGAGAGUGGAAUUCCAUGUGUAGCGGUGAAAUGCGUAGAUAUAUGGAGGAACACCGGUGGCGAAAGCGGCUCUCUGGCUUGUAACUGACGCUGAGGCUCGAAAGCGUGGGGAGCAAACAGGAUUAGAUACCCUGGUAGUCCACGCUGUAAACGAUGAGUGCUAGGUGUUGGACCCUUUCCGGGGUUUAGUGCCGUAGCUAACGCAUUAAGCACUCCGCCUGGGGAGUACGACCGCAAGGUUG